GAGAGAGAGAGAGAGAGAGAGGACUACCUCUUGCUGUGUAGUUCACCGGCUAUUGUGCCUUCAUUGAAUCUAAGAAAAAAAAAAUCCUAAAAUUGAAAUCCUAGCCAAAUAGGACUCCAAAACAUGUUGGGAUUGCUUGAAGACAAAGUCUGGACCAAAACCUUGCUGCCUGUUGCUUGGGCAGAAGAACACGUCUUGGGCAUGAGUUCGGGGCCUGGUACACGCCCAGGGCGUGUACUUUUCUGGAAGACCCUACUGGACAUUCUGAUUUUGGCACUUGCUUUGCAUCAUACAUCCCUACUUGAAAAAAAAAAAAAAACCUCAUCCUUGAGUUGCAACAAACCAAAAAUACAGUGUAAACAGU
rnacentral:misc_RNA from 1 species